UACGUAGGGUGCGAGCGUUGCCCGGAUUUAUUGGGCGUAAAGGGCGCGUAGGCGGUUGGACAAGUCAAAGGUGAAAUCCCUCGGCUCAACUGAGGAACUGCCUUUGAAACUGUCCGGCUUGAGGCCGGGAGGGGGUAGCGGAAUUCCCAGUGUAGCGGUGAAAUGCGUAGAUAUUGGGAGGAACACCAGUGGCGAAGGCGGCUACCUGGACCGGUUCUGACGCUGAUGCGCGAAAGCGUGGGUAGCAAACAGG
rnacentral:rRNA from 1 species